ACACGACGGGUCGGAAGAGCAGGAGCGGAGAAGAGGCGCCAGGUAAUGGAGAAAUUCCAGAAAGCACCAUUUGAGGAGAUUGCCGCCCACUGUGAGUCCAAGGCAAACUUGUUGCACGAACGCCUGGCACAAAUCUUCGAACUGACGAUCCGGCCGCCGCCCAGCCCAUCGGGCGUGGUUUCCAUCUCAACGGGACACGCCCAGCACCAGUCCGUACCCGUCUACGAGAUGAAGUUUCCGGACCUGUGUGUCUACUGACGGCUUUCACUCAAACACUCCACCGCAAAGUUACAGAAUACAAAAAUAAAAAUGCUGUGAAGCUAAACGUU